ACUGGAGAGAUGCCACUAAAGCAAGUAAGAAGAAGAACUACAGCAUCAGUACAAUGGAGGGACAGAGGAUCAGAAUGUUCAUAUCAAGCAUCCUCUCAGUAUUCUACUGAAGAGAUCCAGUUGAUGGAAACACGCACCAGCCUUCAACAGCGGAUAUCUGGGACAUGUUGACGCCGUCUCAGAUGAUUACAGCACAGCACAUGUAGCAUUAUAGCUGAAUCACAUGAUCAGCUUUUGAAAUGUUCUCCUUUUCUUGACCCCCUUUAAUGAACUAAAGUUUAAGGAUGAGGCUAAACGUAUGCUAUGUUGUCUUGUCAUUAACACAUCCCAUUAAAGGACAUAACCAGCAAUUAAUUGAUCAUUUUAUGUUGUGUCUAU
ensembl:lncRNA